CGACAUUGCCUCGUCUUUCUCUUUGUCACCGUUGUUCAGAGCAUGGUCGACGAGUACGGAUCGGAGUUUCUGCAUGAGUGGGUAAGUGGCGCUGCAUGGGUCGUCGAUGUACGAAAACACGUACUCCCUGUCAACUACUUUCAGAAGGUCUUUCUCGCAGAAACGGGAGGGGUGGAGCUCACCGUUAGCGGUCAUGGUGAGGACGCGUUUCGCCACUUGACUCACUGUGUUCUUCACGGAAGCUUUA
rnacentral:lncRNA from 1 species